GAUGAACGCUGGCGGCGUGCCUAAUACAUGCAAGUCGAGCGAACGGACGAGAAGCUUGCUUCUCUGAUGUUAGCGGCGGACGGGUGAGUAACACGUGGAUAACCUACCUAUAAGACUGGGAUAACUUCGGGAAACCGGAGCUAAUACCGGAUGAUAUUUCGAACCGCAUGGUUCAAAAGUGAAAGACGGUCUUGCUGUCACUUAUAGAUGGAUCCGCGCUGCAUUAGCUAGUUGGUAAGGUAACGGAUUACCAAGGCAACGAUGCAUAGCCGACCUGAGAGGGUGAUCGGCCACACUGGAACUGAGACACGGUCCAGACUCCUACGGGAGGCAGCAGUAGGGAAUCUUCCGCAAUGGGCGAAAGCCUGACGGAGCAACGCCGCGUGAGUGAUGAAGGUCUUCGGAUCGUAAAACUCUGUUAUUAGGGAAGAACAUAUGUGUAAGUAACUGUGCACAUCUUGACGGUACCUAAUCAGAAAGCCACGGCUAACUACGUG
rnacentral:rRNA from 1 species